UACGUAGGCAGCGAGCGUUGUCCGGAUUUAUUGGGCGUAAAGAGCUCGUAGGCGGCUUGUCGCGUCGACUGUGAAAUCCCGCGGCUCAACUGCGGGUCUGCAGUCGAUACGGGCAGGCUAGAGUUCGGUAGGGGAGACUGGAAUUCCUGGUGUAGCGGUGAAAUGCGCAGAUAUCAGGAGGAACACCGAUGGCGAAGGCAGGUCUCUGGGCCGAUACUGACGCUGAGGAGCGAAAGCGUGGGGAGCGAACAGG
rnacentral:rRNA from 1 species